ACGGCUCAGUAACACGUGGACAACCUACCCUCAGCACGGGGAUGAACCCGGGAAACUGGGUAUAAUACCCGAUAGUUCUGGUUAGCUGGAAUGCUUCCAGGACGAAAGCUCCGGCGGCCGAGGAUGGGUCUGCGGGCCUAUCAGGUAGUAGUGGGUGUAAUGUACCUACUAGCCUACGACGGGUACGGGUCGUGAGAGCGAGAGCCCGGAGAUGGAUUCUGAGACACGAAUCCAGGCCCUACGGGGUGCAGCAGGCGCGAAAACUUUACAAUGCUGGCAACAGCGAUAAGGGGACCUCGAGUGCCAGGAUACAAUCUUGGCUGUCGUAAUGCCUAAAAAGCAUUGCAUAGCAAGGGCCGGGCAAGACCGGUGCCAGCCGCCGCGGUAACACCGGCGGCUCGAGUGGUGACCGCUAUUAUUGGGUCUAAAGGGUCUGUAGCCGGCCGGAUAAGUCUUUUGGGAAAUCUGGCAGCUUAACUGUCAGGCUUUCAGAAGAUACUGUUUCGGCUCGAGGCCGGGAGAGGUGAGAGGUACUUCAGGGGUAGGGGUGAAAUCUUGUAAUCCUUGAAGGACCACCAGUGGCGAAGGCGUCUCACCAGAACGGUCCUGACGGCAAGGGACGAAAGCUAGGGGCACGAACCGGAUUAGAUACCCGGGUAGUCCUAGCCGUAAACGAUACUCGCUAGGUGUCGGCCACGGUGCGACCGUGGUCGGUGCCGUASGGAAGCCGUGAAGCGAGCCACCUGRGAAGUACGGCCGCAAGGCUGAAACUUAAAGGAAUUGGCGGGGGAG
rnacentral:rRNA from 1 species